GGGUCUGUGGUCUAAUGGUUAUGACGUCUGCUUCACAUGACGUGUUCGCUGAAGGUUCCCAGUUCGAGCCUGGGCAGACUCA